GUAGGUGGCAAGCGUUGUCCGGAAUUAUUGGGCGUAAAGCGCGCGCAGGCGGUUCUUUAAGUCUGAUGUGAAAGCCCACGGCUCAACCGUGGAGGGUCAUUGGAAACUGGAGAACUUGAGUACAGAAGAGGAAAGCGGAAUUCCACGUGUAGCGGUGAAAUGCGUAGAGAUGUGGAGGAACACCAAUGACGAAGACGACUUUCUGGUCUGUAACUGACGCUGAGGCGCGAAAGCGUGGGGAGCAAACAGGGAUUAGAUACCCUGGUAGUCCACGCCGUAAACGAUGAGUGCUAAGUGUUAGGGGGGUUUCCGCCCCCUUAGUGCUGCAGCUAACGCAUUAAGCACUCCGCCUGGGGAGUACGGCCGCAAGGCUG
rnacentral:rRNA from 1 species